GUGGGUGAUUGUUCCUGUCUCUGUGUAGAAUCACCAGAUAGGCUGUAAUUAGGUUUCACGUUCCGUUUGUUGUUUUUUGUAUUCAUAAGUUAUUUCAUGUAUCGUCACUUUUUUCAUUAAAAUCAUGAGUAACCACUACGCUGCAUUUCGGUCCGACUCUCUUUCAACAAACGAAGAACGCCGUUACAAGAACGUGACAAAUAUUGACUAUUUUCUGUAUGUCCUCAAAGUUGUUGUCCACCCUGUUACAUUGUGGUUACUGGUACUUUAAGAAAAUAUAUAUUUUCUACAAUGACAUCACAAACAGAAAAUUAUGUAACUUUCUUGGCAGGAAAACAACUGUGGUGAACGUGGUCUUUCUGAAGGAAUGGCACCUCCUCUUAGCGCAGCUGAAAGACAGCGGCAAUACAGAGAACGACGUAAUGCUGACCCAGAAAGAAGGAGAGAAAUGGAGGAAAGAUAGAGAAGGGGAAGAAGAGGGCAAUAGCUGAACUCAGUGACAGAGUGCAGCGUUCAGAAAGGAAAGAAAUGGAGAGAUUCAAAAAGAAUACUCAGAGCCAGGGCCAAGACUAGUCCAUUGCUGCAGUCUACAGAGAUGCCUGCCUUAGAUGCCAUUAAAGGAAUGAUGAAGAUUCAUCAGGUUAUCAGUGUCUCACAAGGCCAGAUAAAAUACAGGGACAUUACUUGUCUGUGCAAGAAGGAUAGUGGCAUGUUGGACUGUCCUUGUUUUCAGCUCAAAGAGGCAACUCUGGGUGACCCUGCAGCAUCUAACCAACUCCCUGCAUCUCAUGACAAGGCUGACACCACAUGGCGACCUGGCACCAUUGAACUUAAUCACGUAGGGGAGUGGUGUGUUGUCAAUUACGACCAUGAAGGAUACCCUGUAGAGGAACAUAACAUUAAGGUGAAGUACAUGCACCGGAAUGGCAUCAACAAAUUAUUCUGGCCAAGUCCAAAGGAAGAUAUUUGUUGGUACUCUGAUGGACAGAUCAUUUGUCUGAUGCCAGAGCCACAGGCUGUUUAUAAAUGCUCUGUGCAGAUGGAAAAAUCCACCUGGAAGUAUGUGGAAGAGCAUUUGGGGUGAAAGGGGGAGGGAUGGAAAGAGGGGGAGAGGAAGAGAGGGACAGGAAUGUGUUUAAUUGCUAAUUCCAAUGAUUUUGUACCGGCAAUGUAUUUUUGUGUUGUUGUUUUUCACAGUGAAUAUGUAACUAAAUAGAAGGUCCAAUGUUGUUACUACAUGAAUUACUAUGUAGAUGUCUAUUCAGUGUUCAAUAUUCAGGGAUUAAUUUAUGUUCUGUCCCGUUAUAGCUGUCCACCCUGUUAUACCUUGGUCCACCCUGUUAUCAUGUCAUAUUUUUCAAAUUAAUUCAGCUACAUUGUCAAAUAUCAAUCAUUUGAAAUGUAUUUUAAAGACACCACACAAUUAUAAACUUGAAUAAAAUAUCAAUACCUGU